rnacentral:rRNA from 1 species
UACGAAGGGUGCAAGCGUUACUCGGAAUUACUGGGCGUAAAGCGUGCGUAGGCGGUUUGUUAAGUCCGCUGUGAAAGCCCUGGGCUCAACCUGGGAAUUGCAGUGGAUACUGGCAAGCUGGAGUACGGUAGAGGAAGGUGGAAUUCCCGGUGUAGCAGUGAAAUGCGUAGAGAUCGGGAGGAACACCAGUGGCGAAGGCGGCCUUCUGGACCAGUACUGACGCUCAUGCACGAAAGCGUGGGGAGCAAACAGG